UACGAAGGUCCCAAGCGUUAUCCGGAUUUAUUGGGUUUAAAGGGUGCGUAGGCGGAUUAUUAAGUCAGUGGUGAAAGCUCUCAGCCUAACUGAGAAAUUGCCAUUGAUACUGAUGAUCUUUGAGUACAUUUGAAGUGGGCGGAAUGUGUCAUGUAGUGGUGAAAUACUUAGAUAUGACACAGAACACCGAUUGCGUAGGCAGCCUCGCUAAACUGUAACUGACGCUGAGGCACGAAAGCGUGGGGGAGCAAACAGG
rnacentral:rRNA from 1 species